UGGGGAAUAUUGGACAAUGGAGGAAACUCUGAUCCAGCAAUUCUGUGUGUGUGAAGAAGGUUUUAGGACUGUAAAACACUUUUAGUAGGGAAGAAAAAAAUGACGGUACCUACAGAAGAAGCAACGGCUAAAUACGUGCCAGCAGCCGCGGUAAUACGUAUGUUGCGAGCGUUAUCCGGAAUUAUUGGGCUUAAAGGGCAUCUAGGCGGUAAGACAAGUUGAAGGUGAAAACCUGUGGCUCAACCAUAGGCUUGCCUACAAAACUGUUGAACUAGAGUACUGGAAAGGUGGGUGGAACUACACGAGUAGAGGUGAAAUUCGUAGAUAUGUGUAGGAAUGCCGAUGAUGAAGAUAACUCACUGGAUAGAAACUGACGCUGAAGUGCGAAAGCUAGGGGAGCAAACAGG
rnacentral:rRNA from 1 species